UACGGAGGAUGCAAGCGUUAUCCGGAUUUAUUGGGUUUAAAGGGUCCGUAGGCGGAUCUUUAAGUCAGUGGUGAAAGCCCACAGCUCAACUGUGGAACUGCCAUUGAAACUGAUUUCUUGAAUAUAGCUGAGGCAGAUGGAAUAUAACAUGUAGCGGUGAAAUGCUUAGAUAUGUUAUAGAACACCGAUUGCGAAGGCAGUCUGCUAAACUAUUAUUGACGCUGAGGCACGAAAGCGUGGGGAGCGAACAGG
rnacentral:rRNA from 1 species